rnacentral:rRNA from 1 species
AGAGUUUGAUCCUGGCUCAGGACGAACGCUGGCGGCGUGCUUAACACAUGCAAGUCGAACGGAGUGUAGCAAUACACUUAGUGGCGGACGGGUGAGUAACGCGUGAGCAAUCUGCCUUUAACAGCGGGAUAACUCAGAGAAAUCUGCUGUAAUACGGCAUAAGAUCUUAGUAAGGCAUCUUACAGAGAUAAAAGGUGCAAACCGGUUAAAGAUGAGCUCGCGUCCCAUUAGAUAGUUGGUGAGGUAACGGCCCACCAAGUCGACGAUGGGUAGCCGACCUGAGAGGGUGAUCGGCCACAUUGGAACUGAGAAACGGUCCAGACUCCUACGGGAGGCAGCAGUGGGGAAUAUUGGGCAAUGGAGGCAACUCUGACCCAGCAACGCCGCGUGAAUGAUGAAGGUCUUCGGAUUGUAAAGUUCUGUGAUGGGGGACGAAGAAAGUGACGGUACCCCAAGAGCAAGUCACGGCUAACUACGUGCCAGCAGCCGCGGUAAUACGUAGGUGACAAGCGUUGUCCGGAAUGACUGGGCGUAAAGGGUGCGUAGGUGGUUUUGUAAGUUAGUAGUGAAAUUCCGUUGCUUAACGACGGCGCUACUACUAAGACUGCAGGACUUGAGUGCAGGAGAGGUAAGCGGAAUUCCUAGUGUAGCGGUGGAAUGCGUAGAUAUUAGGAGGAACACCAGUGGCGAAAGCGGCUUACUGGCCUGUAACUGACACUGAGGCACGAAAGCGUGGGGAGCAAACAGGAUUAGAUACCCUGGUAGUCCACGCCGUAAACGAUGAUUACUAGGUAUGGGAGGUAUCGACUCCUACCGUGCCGUAGUUAACACAAUAAGUAAUCCGCCUGGGGAGUACGGCCGCAAGGUUGAAACUCAAAGAAAUUGACGGGGACCCGCACAAGCAGCGGAGCAUGGGGUUUAAUUCGACGCAACGCGAAAAACCUUACCAGGUCUUGACAUCCUAUGACCACUAAAGAGAUUUAGUUUUUGUUAGCAAUAACGACAUAGAAACAGGUGGUGCAUGGUUGUCGUCAGCUCGUGUCGUGAGAUGUUCGGUUAAGUCCGACAACGAGCGCAACCCUUGUGUACAGUUGCCAAUAUUAAGUUAGGAACUCUGUACAGACUGCCGUGGACAACACGGAGGAAGGUGGGGAUGACGUCAAAUCAUCACGCCCCUUACGACCUGGGCUACACCCGUGCUACAAUGGCUAUUACAAAGAGCAGCGAAACCGUAAGGCGGAGCGAAUCUCAAAAAGAUAGUCUCAGUUCAGACUGUGGGCUGAAACCCGCCCACACGAAGUCGGAGUUGCUAGUAAUCCCAGAUCAGCAUGCUGGGGUGAAUGCGUUCCCGGGUCUUGCACUCACCGCCCGUCA